rnacentral:rRNA from 1 species
GACGAACGCUGGCGGCGUGCCUAACACAUGCAAGUCGAACGGAACUGUUUUGAAAGAUUUCUUCGGAAUGAAUUUGAUUUCGUUUAGUGGCGGACGGGUGAGUAACGCGUGAGUAACCUGCCUUCAAGAGGGGAAUAACAUUCUGAAAAGAAUGCUAAUACCGCAUGACAUAUCGGAACCACAUGGUUUUGAUAUCAAAGAUUUUAUCGCUUGAAGAUGGACUCGCGUCCGAUUAGUUAGUUGGUGAGGUAACGGCUCACCAAGACCGCGAUCGGUAGCCGGACUGAGAGGUUGAACGGACACAUUGGGACUGAGACACGGCCCAGACUCCUACGGGAGGCAGCAGUGGGGGAUAUUGCGCAAUGGGGGCAACCCGGACGCAGCAACGCCGCGUGAAGGAUGAAGGUUGUCGGAUUGUAAACUUCUUUUAUUAAGGACGAAAAAUGACGGUACUUAAUGAAUAAGCUCCGGCUAACUACGUG